rnacentral:rRNA from 1 species
CAUUGUUGCCUAAAUACCUAAAACCCACCAGAUCCCAUCCAAUCUAGAAAGCAAAGCAUGGUUAGCCCAGGUUAGUACUUAGGUGGGAGACUUUCAAUGAAUACCAGGUAACAGCAGGCU